CUUCUAUUCUCACGUUCUUCUUUCUUCUGUUUCGUUUCUCACAACUAAAAUACCUCACGUACUACUUCUUGACUUAUUCCACUGCAAAUUAAUUUUUCUUCCACUGCAAAUUAAUUUUAAUUAAUAUUUAUUUUAUGUUAAAUAGAUUAUUGUUGUUUUUACUUCAAUUCUAAUUAUGUUUGUUUUUACUUUGCAGUCACAUAACAUGAAGGCAAAGUUAUAUUGUCUUCCUUCGCUCUUAAUUGAGGUCUGUAUUCUUGUUUAGUUUCUUAGCAUUAUUAAUUAUUUAUAGAUUUAGCAAUUUUAUUAGUUAACGGUUGAUUCUUUUUCCCUUUCGUAUUUAAUAUUGAAUGUAGAAUUUUUAAAGCCCAAUUGAGAUAAAACUGAAACAACAAGUGAGGAAACAAACCCCUCAAUCCAAAAAGGAUUAAAAAAAGUGAAAUUCUUAACUUAUCCACAUAAAAAGGAAGCUUAAACUUUAACCUAAAGCGAGCAAAACAAAGCAGAAAGAUCAAACGAAGGAAAAGAAAAUAUGGAAGUAGUAAAAACAACAAAAAAGACCUGAAUUAAAAAAAAAAAAAAAAAGUUUUGUUAAUGGGGGAAUGGCAGCCAAAGAGGAAGUGAGGAGGGAUUUUCAGAGGUUGAAGAAGACAGGACACAGGCGGAAAUAAAUA